ACUCACUAACUGUCAAAUCAGCAUUCCGUUAAAGAAUUAACAACAAGGACUAAUUUUGAUAACAUAGAUAAAAUGUGAAGAUUUUAAAAACAUUUAAUGAAAUAUAGGAACAAUUCUUCAAAGGAGCGCAAAAUAUAAGGAUUAAAAACAUAUUUAACUCAUAAUAUAAUACACAUUCUAUUAUAGAUGAUGCUUACAUUUCUUUAAAAUAAAUAUAAAGAAUGUCACAUAAAACUGGGAAUGAAUGAAAAUCACCUGUAAACAGGGGGAAAGUAAAAAGUGGAAGUAGAAGGUGGUCCCUCUAAAAAAUGGAAGGGAACAGAAAUGACUUACUCCAAAUUAAAUAA
rnacentral:lncRNA from 1 species